UACGUAGGGGGCAAGCGUUGUCCGGAUUUAUUGGGCGUAAAAGGCUUGUAGGUGGCCACGCCAAGUCGGAUGUGAAAUCUCCCGGCUCAACUGGGAGGGGUCAUUCGAUACUGGCGGGCUCGAGGCCGGUAGGGGGAAGUGGAAUUCCCGGUGUAGUGGUGGAAUGCGUAGAUAUCGGGAGGAACACCAGUGGCGAAGGCGGCUUCCUGGACCGGUUCUGGACACUGAGGA
rnacentral:rRNA from 1 species